rnacentral:rRNA from 1 species
UACAGAGGGGGCUAGCGUUAUUCGGAAUUAUUGGGCGUAAAGGGCGCGUAGGCGGCCAUGCGUGUCUUCCGUGAAAUCCCUCGGCUUAACUGAGGACGUGCGGAAGAAACUGCAAGGCUCGAGUCCGGGAGAGGGGGGUGGAAUUCCCAGUGUAGCGGUGAAAUGCGUAGAUAUUGGGAGGAACACCGGUGGCGAAGUCGGCCCCCUGGACCGGAACUGACGCUGAGGCGCGAAAGCGUGGGUAGCAAUCGGG